rnacentral:rRNA from 1 species
CCCUUAGAUGUCCUGGGCCGCACGCGCGUUACACUGAUGCAUUCAACGAGCUUAUAACCUUGGCCGAGAGGCCUGGGCAAUCUUGUUAACGUGCAUCGUGAUAGGGAUAGAUUAUUGAAAUUAUUAAUCUUGAACGAGGAAUUCCUAGUAAACGCAGAUCAUCAAUCUGCAUUGAUUACGUCCCUGCCCUUUGUACACACCGCCCGUCGCACCUACCGAUUGGAUGGUCCGGUGAAGCCUCGGGAUUGUGGUUCUUGCCGCUUUAUUGUGGCGUGACCGCGAGAACUUGUCUAAACCUUAUCACUUAGAGGAAGGAGAAGUCGUAACA